rnacentral:rRNA from 1 species
UACGGAGGAUCCGAGCGUUAUCCGGAUUUAUUGGGUUUAAAGGGUGCGCAGGCGGGGGAUUAGGUCGGCGGUGAAAUGUCAGGGCUCAACCUUGAAAGUGCCGUCGAAACCGGUUUUCUUGAGUGCGGAUGAAGUAGGCGGAAUUUGUGGUGUAGCGGUGAAAUGCGUAGAUAUCACAAGGAACACCGAUUGCGGAGGCAGCUUACUAAACCGCAACUGACGCUCAUGCACGAAGGCGUGGGGAUCAAACAGGAUUAGAUACCCUGGUAGUCCACGCAGUAAACGAUGAUUACUGGCUGUUUGCGAUACAAUGUAAGCGGCUGAGCGAAAGCGUUAAGUAAUCCACCUGGGGAGUACGUUCGCAAGAAUGAA